AUGGCAUCCUCUUCUUCUUUCCUCCGUUCUCCGGCCUCCUUCCAGCCGGCCACCGGAGCCUGCGGCCACGUCCGCUGGGCCCAGCCGUUGGCACCCCCCAAACCGCACCGCUCGCCACUCCCGCCGGCGGCCACGCCCGGGGUGCCGCGCAGGCUCCUCCUGCCGGCGGCCGCUGGCAUCUGGGACUUCCUCUCCGGCGGUGCGGCCGGUGCAGCGGCCGCGCCCCUUGCCGUCCGGCGAGGUAUGCAGCUCUUCCAGCAGGGAGAUGUGGCUGGGUCAGUGGCGGAGUUCGAUCGCGCGAUCGAGCUGGAUCCGCGGCAGAAAGCAUGUACAUCUCUGGCAGAGGGGGCUGUCGCUGUAUUACCUCGACAGGUGCAUAAUCCAAUGAGUAAUCAGGCACCUGACAUCUGCAACUGCAACUAUCCUACCCACCGUUGGGUUUCAGUUUUCUUUCAUUUUCGGACAUUGGCAUAUUACAUAUACAGGUUCGAGGACGCCGCGGAGCAGUUCAGGCUGGACGUUGCUGCCAACCCCAACGACACCGAAGAGUCGAUAUGGUGUUUCCUCUCUGAAGCUCAGCUGUAUGGGGUGGACGGGGCAAGGAACCGCUUCUUGGAGGUUGGUUUAGAUCGAAGACCCGUGAUGCGCGAAGCUUACGCCUUGUUCAAAGAUGGUGGGGACCCUGAAAAGUUAGCUUCAAAUUUUUCUAGUAGCUCUGGUGGCGAACUCUUCUAUGCAUCAUUAUACGCUGGACUUUACUAUGAAUCUCAGAAGGACGCAGACCUGGCAAAAUCUCAUAUUGUUGCUGCAUGCAAGACACCUUAUGGAUCAAGGUCUGGUGAUUACAUGGCUUCCCUUGCAGUGGUUCAUUGUCAGUGCCGCAACUGGACCCUCGAGGGAUAG
rnacentral:rRNA from 1 species